rnacentral:rRNA from 2 species
UGCGGCGUGCUUACACUGCAAGUCGAACGGUGAACACGGAGCUUGCUCUGUGGGAUCAGUGGCGAACGGGUGAGUAACACGUGAGCAACCUGCCCCUGACUCUGGGAUAAGCGCUGGAAACGGCGUCUAAUACUGGAUAUGUGACGUGACCGCAUGGUCUGCGUCUGGAAAGAAUUUCGGUUGGGGAUGGGCUCGCGGCCUAUCAGCUUGUUGGUGAGGUAAUGGCUCACCAAGGCGUCGACGGGUAGCCGGCCUGAGAGGGUGACCGGCCACACUGGGACUGAGACACGGCCCAGACUCCUACGGGAGGCAGCCAGUGGGGAAUAUUGCACCAUGGGCGCAAGCCUGAUGCAGCAACGCCCCGUGAGGGACGACCGCCUUCGGGUUGGAAACCUCCUUU